CUCCUCCAUCCUCCUAGGUCCUCUGCUGACUCAUCACUCCACCUUCCCAGCAUCCACAGUGAGGGCAGCCUGAGCUCUAAGAUCUCUCAGCUCAGCUGCAGUAAAGGCCUGAGCAGAACUACAGGAGCACCCGACAAUGUAAUUGAAGCCAGAGGAGAGACCAGAGGAGCUGGCACCGGCCUGGUGUCUGCUGGCUGAGGACACAGAAGUAACAUCAGGCUUCGCGGCCCAGGGAUCAGGGACAGAACAGGAUCCAGAACUAGGAGAAAGCUGCCUGAGGCCCAUCCCGGCAGAAUAUCAGAUCAACCUGGAGAGUGCUGCUCUGCUAGACUGGUUGGUCAAUGAGACCCAGGGACCUACCUGUCUCCUAACACACCCAGCACUGAGGUUACAGAAGUGGCUAUUUGGGAUUCAAACUAAGAUCUGCAUGCACAGAAAGCACUCUGCCCACUGGGCCAUCUCAGCAUAAUCUAAAACUUGUUUUUUUAAUCUUUUUUCUCUAUUUGACUUGGAACAACUGUACUCACUUAUAACCCUACAUCCUUUCUUUCUGAUGACCGUUGAGGGACACACAAGCUUUGGUUAGCAAGUCCACUCGAAACUCUAUCAUUGGAGAAUCAGUACAACCCUGGUAAGCAUUAUGGGUGGUUCCAAACCGUAGAACUGAGGGAAUACUGCCAUGCAAGAGCACCAUUAUCUACUGCCCUCAGAACUCUGACCUGCUGUGGUCCUGCAUACCUGUUACGCACGCCAGCACUCGAAAGGCUGAAGCAGAGGCAUUGCACAUUUAAGGUCUGCCUGAGCUGACCUACAUACAUGGCAAGACUCUCUCAAAAGAACAAAACCUGGGCUGGGAAACAGCUCAGUCAGUAAAGUGUUUGCUGUAGAAGAAAGAAGCCCCGAACUGAACGCCCAGACCAUGGACCACGCCGUGUGUGACAAUGUGCACUCUGUAAUCACAGUGCCGAGGAGGAAGCAUCCCUGACCUGAGGCCCAAUGGUUGGCUAACCUGGAUGAAUCUGGCAAGCCUCAGGUCCCAGUAAAAGAUCCUUUCUCAAAAUAACAGUGUGAACAGCUCCUGAAGAACAAUACCCAGGUCCUCUGUCCGUCAUACACAACAGUCUGCGCACAUCACAUGCAUGCCUCUGUCGCUCACACUUAAAUAAGAAGUUCUUCUGGGGCAGGUGGGAUGGCUCAGCGGGUAAAGGUGCCUGCUGCUAAGCUUGGCGGAUGCCCUGAGUUCCACCUCUAGGACACACAUGGUGGAAAGAAACCCAAGUUGUCCUCUGACCUCCACAUGUGACCCUUACACAGGCAUGUGCAAUUAACCAAAUGCAAUUUUAAAAUUCUUUUAAGAAGCUGCUCUGGAUGAAGCUCAGGUUUCCCCAGCCACAGGAAAUGUACUCUGCCAUCUUGUGCUUUCACCUUUGGUGGGAACCAUGGAGGAUGCUAGCAGGUUCCCAGCUCAUGAUCAGACACCUCCUUCCUUGGAAACACUGGUCCCAGUGCCGGCUGCUCCAGGCACAUUAACCCCUCGAGUGUCCUUUGCACACCUCAGGGAGGCCAGUCAUGGUUCACACUGAUCACAUCGUGAGUUGGAAGAACUGCAGCCCCAACCCUCCUCGGCUUGACUAAAACCUGAUGCUUCUCCCCACCGUUGGGCUCCGUACAGCCUGCCAAGGAGCUGCAGAGCUGAAAGCUGAGCGUCAACACCCCAGACCUACACGCUACACAGUUUCAUUCAUAUGAACUAUCCAAAAAGGGUAGACCCACAGACAGAAAGCAGACUCAUGUGGUAUGCACAUUGUGAGAAGAAGGGAGAAAAUAAUCAAUUGCUAAUAGGCAAAAGCAAGGGGGGGGGGCAUUUCUACAAUUAGAUUGUGAUAAAGGACACGCAAUUAUGUAAAAUACUAGGAUCCAUUGAAUUGUGUAACCAAACAGGUGAAUUUUACAGUACAUAAAUUCAAUGAUCUUUUUUUU